GAGGAUAUAGCUCAGUGGUAGAGUGUGUGCUUAGCAUGCACAAUUUCCUAGGUUCAAUCCCCACUGCCUCCA
rnacentral:tRNA from 1 species